rnacentral:rRNA from 1 species
AACGUAGGUGGCAAGCGUUAUCCGGAUUUACUGGGCGUAAAGGGUGUGCAGGCGGGUGGGCAAGUGGGGGAUGAAAGACCCUGGCUUAACUGGGGGAACGUAAACCAGACUGUUCAUCUAGAACAUGAGAGAGGGAUGUGGAAUUCCGGGUGUAGUGGUGAAAUGCGCAGAUAUCAGGAGGAACACCGGUGGCGAAGGCGGGUCUCUGGGCCGUAACUGACGCUGAGGAGCGAAAGCGUGGGGAGCGAACAGG